UACAGAGGUCUCAAGCGUUGUUCGGAUUCAUUGGGCGUAAAGGGUGCGUAGGCGGCGCGGUAAGUCGGGUGUGAAAUCUCGGAGCUUAACUCCGAAACUGCAUUCGAUACUGCCGUGCUUGAGGACUGGAGAGGAGACUGGAAUUUACGGUGUAGCGGUGAAAUGCGUAGAUAUCGAGAGGAACACCUGCGGCGAAGGCGGGUUGAUGGGCUGACACUGACGCUGAUGCGCGAAAGCCAGGGGAGCGAACGGG
rnacentral:rRNA from 1 species